rnacentral:rRNA from 1 species
CACGUAGGGCGCGAGCGUUGUCCGGAAUUAUUGGGCGUAAAGAGCUCGUAGGCGGCCUGUUGCGUCCGCUGUGAAAGCCCGGGGCUUAACCCCGGGUCUGCAGUGGAUACGGGCAGGCUAGAGGUAGGUAGGGGAGAAUGGAAUUCCCGGUGUAGCGGUGAAAUGCGCAGAUAUCGGGAGGAACACCGGUGGCGAAGGCGGUUCUCUGGGCCACUACUGACGCUGAGAAGCGAAAGCAUGGGGAGCGAACAGG